rnacentral:rRNA from 1 species
AUACGUAGGGAGCAAGCGUUAUCCGGAUUUACUGGGUGUAAAGGGCGCGUAGGCGGGACUGCAAGUCAGGUGUGAAGUCUGGUGGCUCAACCACCAAACUGCACUUGAAACUGUGGUUCUUGAGUGAUGGAGAGGCAAGUGGAAUUCCUAGUGUAGCGGUGAAAUGCGUAGAUAUUAGGAGGAACACCAGUGGCGAAGGCGACUUGCUGGACAUUAACUGACGCUGAGGCGCGAAAGCGUGGGGAGC